AACCCCUAGUGAGCCCACGACGCCUUGCUUAGCCACGCCCUCAAGGGAGCUCAGCAGUGAUAAACAUUAAGCCAUAAGUGAAAACUUGACUUAGUUAAAGCUAACAAGGGCCGGUAAAACUCGUGCCAGCCACCGCGGUUAUACGAGAGGCCCAAGUUGAAAGACUGCGGCGUAAAGAGUGGUUAAGCUAGAAUUUACACUAAAGCCGAACGUACUCACGGCUGUUAUACGCACCCGAAGAUAAGAAGCUCGACCACGAAGGUGGCUUUACUUAGUCUGAACCCACGAAAGCUACGGCACAAACUGGGAUUAGAUACCCCACUAUGCCUAGCCCUAAACAUUGAUAGUAUUAUACACCCACUAUCCGCCUGGGAACUACGAGCACUAGCUUAAAACCCAAAGGACUUGGCGGUGCUUUAGACCCACCUAGAGGAGCCUGUUCUAGAACCGAUAACCCCCGUUCAACCUCACCUUUCCUUGUUUUACCC
rnacentral:rRNA from 1 species